rnacentral:lncRNA from 1 species
AUGAGUUAGAGUCCGAUGCAGAAGAGCCGGAGACGGAAGUACCAACUGGAUGAGACGCGUGUGCUUCCUGCAUGUGGUGGAGGGGCCUGUACACAGCUGACAGGAAUACGGCGAGACCCACUGCAGGUCCAGAAACCACAGACUGCAUCCAGUACAUUGUAUACGUAUUAGUCGUAUUUAUGCUUCUCUCAGUAGCCUGUGUUGCCGACAUAUUUCCUACGCGAAGGGAAAUGCCUUCACGCCAGUCCAUGAGUUCUCUCCAGGAGAUGUCCCGCCGCGACAGAGCUCGUAACCCAUGUCCAUUCGUUCCGCACAAUGUCACGUUCAAGGAUGUGAAAAACGGAGGAACCCUUUUAUCUGCUGUCGGAGAUGGAUAUUCCCGAUGCCCCGACAGGAAAGGGGAAUGUGCGAAUUUCAUAUCAACCUGAUUUUCGUCUCGAGAAGGACUCUUGCGCAUUUUCUCAUGUAGUGGAGACGAGGAAGAUGACGGCAUCGCCCUGAUUGUCAACUGGAUGUUCACAGGCUCGGACCUGAUUCUGCGGGGACUGAGGCGCUCGUGAAGGAGAUCAAGAGCUUCUAGAACAAUGCUAAGGUCUUUUUCUUCAGAUACGGCAAUGAACAGAUUCUCAUCUCCAGAAAUGCUGUUUCUGCCCAGAUUCCUCUGGGAGCUGCAUCGUGGUCCCCGGCGUUAGGGUCAUCGCCAUUCGGAAGCGCGCUUGCUGGAGCAGCCGCAAGAAGAAGAGCCGGAAGUUCAAGAAGGGUACCAUUAGACUGAUCCCCUUCCUUCAUCUCAGAAACACUCAGGAGUGUUCUACUCUGUACGGCAUUCAGGAAGAUAUUCUCAAACCCAAGCAGACACUCAUUUUCCUCUGAAAGUCCAAACGAAUGCGUUGCAUUCAGUGAAAAACGCACCUCAGCCAGUAGGUCAAGGCCGAUCCAGUCAACAAGACUUAGACUACGGUUACCGCUUUGCACGUCGAGCGGGCUCUGUGUCUUGCGUUUCGCCCAUUCGACCGUACGAGCGUGCAUAUAAUUGUUAAUAGCUUGAUGCACAGCCUUCUCAACCCGACGUAUGGUUUCCUGUCCACUACUCUGUGUGCUGAGUGCCGGCUGUUCCGAAUCCUUUCUCUUGAUAAUUCUAAAAACACGCGCUGCGUGAAGGAGAAGAGAGAGGUCGGGUUCCUUAGGAGCGAAAUCCUUCAGCACCUGACUACCCACGGGAUUCGAGGCGCCUGUUUUUACCGUAAAAUAUUGUUUUAUAGGACGCUCAAGAAGGCCAAACUUUCGAAAUGCAUUGUUUGAGGAAGCAGAUACCUCAUCUGAGAGUCCAGAGGCGGUUUCGGUGGGGACGUAGAGGGGAAGCAAGUGUACGGCUGCCUGACUCGCUGUGCGGAUGGCAGCUCGCAUGUUCAUGAUGCUGGCUGUACAUGUGAUGUGCUCACCACUGUUCUGAGAUGAUGAGGGUGCGGCCUGAGCUGUUGAAAAAUCUGUGUUUGUGUGUGCCUCGAGACUCCCCGCAGACGACAAGGGUCCUGCAAAAGUGUCUGAGGAAAGGGUCCUACUUUUGACCACCCCUACACUGUUGCAUUUGCCAUCGAAUGAGGAGAGAAUCUUCUCAGCAAGGAUAAUGCUCAGUAGAACAGAGGAGUUCGGAAGGUCUUCCAGCUUCUCCUGGACGACCUCAGCUGCUGGCAGAGGGCUCUCUUCCCGAAAUGUUUGAUGACCGUCACCGAUACUGAGAGACGGGACUCGGGUUUUACCUUGAUCGUCCACUGAUUCGUAGGCACCUUUACAGACGGUGACGUUACUCUCAGGAGCGUCACAAGAUAGGGUCUCGGCUGAGCGCAUGAGACGCUCGGAUUCGUUCAGACCACCCACGUCUGCCUGUUGCGAGGUUGUAGGAGACAGCCUCAGGAAGGAAUUUUCGCAAUACAGAAGCGUUGACUUGUGCAUAUAAAUUAACUGCAGCACACGUCGCUCGAUAGCGGCAACGAAGCCCAUUCGUGCCUCAAUCGAGAAACCUCCCUCAUCAAGGUCCAGGGCUCCGGGCACAUAAAAGAAGUCCUCCAAAGUCGUGGUCGCAGGCUCUCCAGCAGUGUGCUGAUGAUUGCCUGUGCGUGGACCAGGAACUCCUGCGGGUUCCGCGUUAGUGUUGUCGACUGCCUCAUUCCGCUCCAUUUGCUGUUGGGAAAGAGGUGAAAAAGGAAGAUCGAGAGCAGUAGAUCGUGUCACGGACGAGGGUGUGCCCUCAUUCAUAGCAUCCUUCACCUUGUGACCCGCCAAUGUUUCAUCGUGUCCGGCCAUCGCAUUUCUCCGCCCCUCCAGAUGUGACACCUCCGGCUCCACUGGGGUUGGCUGCUGCUGUUUUUUGUGCAAAGCAGAAGCCUCCUCUGGUGCUCGUACAUCGCCACUUCUCAGAAUGUGAUUGACACUGGUGAAACUUGCACGUGAUGUAUUCGGUUUAGAGCUUUUUUCCUGAGCCUCCUCCGACACCAGCAGCUGAGAAGAGUAGCGUAGACUGCUGAUGUCGACAUGCUCGCCUCCUUCCGCUGUAUCGGUUACCAGAUUUGUUAGAGAUGAAUUGAUCGAUGCCUCCACGAGACUGGUUGAAGCGUUUUCAGUGUGAGGGAACAGCAAGUGAAUUUUUCUAAUAAAGGUUGGGAACUCGGACGGCAGCACUGGUAUCCUCACAGAUGCUGUGACGUUCCCUGUACAGUACGCGGAAAGGGGCCCCUUGGUAUCGAGGGAACGGCUUUUCAACGUUGCUUCGACACUAUCAACAGCGCCUUCCCACUCGCUUUCUUUUGACAGCUUGGUGCAACGUCCGGCUUUCCGAAAUUUCAAGAAAGCAAUAACAGACUCUUGAACAGAUCCCGAUUGUCCGCCCCUAGCAACGUUGUCGUUCACGCGAAUUCGAAGUCUCUGGCUGCAAGACAUGCCAUUAAAACUUCUUUCGGUUGACGUAUACAGCUCUGUUUUGUCUUCGUUCUUCUGCUGUUUUGUUGGCGGUGUGGACGAACGAAGUCCCUUCCUCUGGUCUUGUUCAGAGUCGUUUGUCUCGAAGUAGUGAGUUACUUCGAGAACUGAGUCAGGAAAAGCGUUCCAGCACCAAAAAGU